AUUAAUUUGGCAGAUUUGAGUGCAUUAAGUUUAGGUCUUAUUUAUAUUGUUUAUUCAAUAGUUAAUA
rnacentral:tRNA from 1 species